rnacentral:tRNA from 3 species
GGCGGGGUAGCUCAGAUGGUUAGAGCGUUGGAUUCAUAACCCAAAGGUCGGCAGUUCGAUUCUGCUCCCCGCUACGA